UACAGAGGUCUCAACCGUUGUUCGGAUUCAUUGGGCGUAAAGGGUGCGUAGGCGGCGGAGUAAGUCAGGUGUGAAAUCCCGGGGCUCAACCCCGGAACUGCAUUUGAAACUGCCUUGCUCGAGUACUGGAGAGGAGACUGGAAUUUACGGUGUAGCAGUGAAAUGCGUAGAUAUCGUAAGGAAGACCAGUGGCGAAGGCGAGUCUCUGGACAGUUACUGACACUGAGGCACGAAGGCCAGGGAGCAAACGGG
rnacentral:rRNA from 1 species